UCCUAAGUAAUAUUUUAUUUCUUUCAAUCUGUUAGAAUGAUGAAAGAAUUCAAUAUUUUAGAAUCGCUCGGGCAUGAUCACAUCAUACGCCUCUACAAGGUUUUACCGAAUGGGGUAGGCGUUUGUGCAAUCAUGCAAUACAUAUCAGAAGAUAUUUUGAAGUACAUCAAGAGGAACAGAGGGAUUAAAGAAAAUGAAGCAGAAAGUUUUUUCAGCAGGUAGAAAAUUUCUUCAAUUGUCAACUAACCUCUACUUUGGGCAGAUAAUCUCUGCUGUGGAGUUCGGUCACAGUAAACGUAUAGUACAUUUGGACCUUAAACCUGAGAAUAUACUGUUUGACGCGCACAACAGUUUGAAGCUUGUUGAUUUUGGCCUAUGCGAAAUCAUGCGUAAUGGUUAUUUUCUUCAGAAAAUUCCUGGAAGUCCUUAGUAUCCAGCUCCUGAGGUUGUCACAGGAAAACAGUAUGCCGGACCUAAAGUAGGUAUUAGAGCUGUGGUGCACUCUUAUACACACUUCUAUGUCAACAAGCUCCUUUUGGAGAUCACGAUAGCACCGUUUCCGAGAUCAUCGAACUAGUAAAGGAAUAAUUUCAUUUGAGUUUGUAAGGACAAAUAGAUUUCCAAUCAUCAUAAUUCGUCUGUUUUGUCGUUUGUUAUAUAUAGGAUGGGCAGUACACUCUUCCUAGCUAUCUAUCUCCUGGUGCCAAAUAAUUGAUAAGUGGAAUGCUUACAGUGGAUCCGAUAAAAAGAAUAACAAUAUCGGACAUUAAAAAGCAUCCUUGGUUUGCUACGGACCUUCCUCGUUAUUUGAAAUAGACUUCGACAGGGCCAAGAGAUUGAUAAAGGGAUUCUGCAUAUUUAGUUGAAAUUCGAUAUAAUGCAGAAGAGGUAAUAGAACUCCUUAGAGAAGGGAGACAAGACGAGGUUUGUUUCCUUCAUUUUCACUUUAGAUACCGGCAUGCCCAGAUUGCUACUAAUUACCAUCAUUUUUAGACAACCUGUAUGUUAUUAUUUGUUAUUCGACAAACACCUUCCUCUUCCCAGAGACAAUCUUGAAACUGAGUUUCAAAAGGCAGUGGUGGGUUUGUUUUCUCUUCUGAUUACGAUCAACUAAUUUCUUACUUUUACAACCGCUUUAUUUGAUGAAGUGAUUCAAUCAUUUUUAACUUACUUUUAAAUUGUAUCCCCGUGUGAAAUAUGCAGCAGUCUCAAAAUUGCUUGUUAUACUCUAUAAACAGUGUCCCAAUGAGUAAACCGUACUCUGAAACUUAUCUUUCUAGCUUGAACAUAGUUGUAUGCGUAAUUUUUUACGAAUGAAAAUGUGGUUUUUCUAUUCUUGAUAUUAUAAUUAUGUCUUUCUAGAACAGGAUACUAUGCAAAGCUCAUUAAUUUUGGUUUUAUGAUAUGACUGCUUAGGAUUCUGGUUUGAACCGUAUCCCCUGCAGUCAAGUUGCUUUUCAAAGAGUAGGGCCGAGGCAAGGUUUCCCAGUCGAGGGAAAGUGGUUCCUUGGGAUUUAGGUACAGUAUUUUAGAAGAUAUUUGCCUUCCUUCUCGUUGAAUAAUCAUGUGUAUAUUUAUAUACAAACCUGUCUUGGCGACCAAGCUUAAGCCUAGAAUUGGUCCCUUUGACUGGAGAGCUAGACGGAAGGUUAGCAAUUGUGGUGAACCAGCAAUAUGGUUGUACUCAAGUUUGAACUUCAGCUCUACAAAAUUCAGGAGAAUCAUCUGCUUAAUCUUAUAAGGGUUGAGGGCCUCACUUAUCUUUUCUUGGAUCUUUGUGCUGCCUUCCAAGCUAAGCUCCAUUUCACAUAGAUCUUACGAUAAAUGAUGAUGACUAUAGUGUUAAAUUAAUUUGCUAAUUAAGAUGCAUACUUAUGUUCAUCAAACGUGUAUGGAUCACUUUAUUUUGUAAUAACAAUUACAGCAAUCUUUGAUCAUAGAAAAAGCAGAAUCUGGCUGAGCA